CCUACGAGAGGCAGCAGUGAGGAAUAUUGGUCAAUGGGCUUACGCCUGAACCAGCCAAGUCGCGUGAGGGAAGACUGCCCUAUGGGUUGUAAACCUCUUUUGUCAGGGAGCAACGCCCGCUACGUGUACCCUGACUGAUAGUACCUGAAGAAAAAGCAUCGGCUACCUCCGUGCCAGCAGCCGCGUUAAUACGGAGGAUGCGAGCGUUAUCCGGAUUUAUUGGGUUUAAAGGGUGCGUAGGCGGAAUGCCAAGUCAGCGGUAAAAUCGCGGGGCUCAACCUCGCUCCGCCGUUGAAACUGGCGUGCGUGAGUGGGCGAGAAGUAUGCGGAAUGCGUGGUGUAGCGGGGAAAUGCAUAGAUAUCACGCAGAACUCCGAGUGCGAAGGCAGCAUACCGGCGCCCAACUGACGCUGAAGCACGAAAGCGUGGGUAUCGAACAGGAUUAGAUACCCGGGUAGUC
rnacentral:rRNA from 1 species